rnacentral:tRNA from 1 species
GCUGCUUUGACAGAAUAGUGUGAUAGAUUUAGAAUCUUUUUAUGUAGUUAAAGCUAUAGGUAGUA